rnacentral:lncRNA from 1 species
ACACUGACAAAACUACCGAACCAUGUUCCUGGUUGAGGAUACCUGAAGGUCGACAUUUAUCUGGGAUCUUUUGCUGCUGCUUUGGUAUGACUUCUAUCAAGAUAGCUUUCGACGAGAAUAACUGGGAGAUGAAACAGGAAGCUCUAUGACACACUUGAUCGAAUAUGACAGACACCGAAAAUCACGACUCAGCCCCCUCCAGCACCUCUACCUGUUGCCCGCCGAUCACAGCCGGAAUGCAGCUGAAAGAUUCCCUGGGGCCUGGUUCCAACCGCCCACUGUGGACUCUGAGGCCUCUGCAUUUGCGGGUGGUCUGCCUGUGAUAUUUUGGUCAUGGGCUGGUCUGGUCGGUUUCCCAUUUGUCUGGCCAGUCUCUAUGUGUCUUAAUCCCUUGUCCUUCAUUAAAAGCAAAACUAAAGAAAAC